UGAGAUAGUCGGGCUUGAUUGGGAAACAAUAACAUGGUUUAUGUGCUCGUUCUGGGUAAAUAGAGUUUCUAGCAUUUAUGUUAGUUACUUGUUCCCCGGAUAGUUUAGUUACGUAGCCAAUUGUGGAACUUUCUUGCUAAAAUUUUUAAGAAUACUAUUUGGGUUAAACCAAUUAGUUCUUAUCAAUUAUAACGAUUAUCAAUUAACAAUCAAUUCAGAACUGGCACGGACUUGGGGAAUCCGACUGUCUAAUUAAAACAAAGCAUUGUGAUGGCCCUAGCGGGUGUUGACACAAUGUGAUUUCUGCCCAGUGCUCUGAAUGUCAAAGUGAAGAAAUUCAAGUAAGCGCGGGUCAACGGCGGGAGUAACUAUGACUCUCUUAAGCCAAAUGCCUCGUCAUCUAAUUAGUGACGCGCAUGAAUGGAUUAACGAGAUUCCUACUGUCCCUAUCUACUAUCUAGCGAAACCACAGCCAAGGGAACGGGCUUGGAAUAAUUAGCGGGGAAAGAAGACCCUUUUGAGCUUGACUCUAAUCUGGCAGUGUAAGGAGACAUAAGAGGUGUAGAAUAAGUGGGAGAUAUUAGACCUCGGUUUGGUAUCGUCAAUGAAAUACCACUACUCUUAUUGUUUCCUUACUUACUUGAUUAAAUGGAACGUGUAUCAUUUCCUAGCCAUUAUACGGAUAUAUUUAUUAUAUCUUAUGGUAUUGGGUUUUGAUGCAAGCUUCUUGAUCAAAGUAUCACGAGUUUGUUAUAUAAUCGCAAACAAAUUCUUUAAUAAAACGAUGCAUUUAUGUAUUUUUGAUUUGAAAAUUUGGUAUAACUCCAAUUACUCAGGUAUGAUCCAAUUCAAGGACAUUGCCAGGUAGGGAGUUUGACUGGGGCGGUACAUCUCUCAAAUAAUAACGGAGGUGUCCCAAGGCCAGCUCAGUGCGGACAGAAACCACACAUAGAGCAAAAGGGCAAAUGCUGACUUGAUCUCGGUGUUCAGUACACACAGGGACAGCAAAAGCUCGGCCUAUCGAUCCUUUUGGUUUAAAGAGUUUUUAACAAGAGGUGUCAGAAAAGUUACCAUAGGGAUAACUGGCUUGUGGCGGCCAAGCGUUCAUAGCGACGUCGCUUUUGGAUCCUUCGAUGUCGGCUCUUCGUAUCAUUGUGAAGCAAAUUCACUAGCGUUGAUUGUUCACCCAUGCAGGGACGUGAGCUGGUUAGACGUCGUGAGACAGGUAGUUAUCCUACUAUGACAACGUGUGCGACAGCAUCUGCGUAGUACGAGAGACGCAG
rnacentral:ncRNA from 1 species